AUAUAUCGAAUUAAUAAUAUCGAAUAUAUCGAUAUUUUUUCAACAAGCCUACCCUUAGCCGCGUUGAUGAGGCGUGGCGCGGCGCCCUGAGCGUGAGACGGGCGGCAGUGUCCACUGUCAGCCCUCGAUGAUCGUUCGCCCUUCGCUUCGGCGGAGAGGGUGGGGCGUUGUCGCUGUCUGAGCGGC